UACCAGUUCUCAGAUUUUCAGAGCAACGACAAAGGUUAUACGAUGUUCUCAACGGUCACACUUGUGCUGCUCGUGUCAUGCUGCGGCGCGGCGUUGAGUAGCUGGAUACCAUACGGGAACUCGUAUUCGCCAGUACAAGGCAAGGGCGGAUAUUGGAACUCAUAUUUGCCGAAAUAUGAGAACUAUUGGCCGCAACAAUAUCCUAGUUAUCCAGGGGGUGGCUGGCAAGAUGAUAACGUCGGCUCGCAAAAGAAUUCCGUGGACGGUACAGGCAAUUACGUGGGCUGGCAAAAGAAUUAUGUGGAUUAAGUACAGAAGAAAUUGAACAGAAUAAUGAUCAAGGCAUGCAGAGAAUGUUUGCUUCUGUUGACAAUACUUAAUAAAUAUAUUUCAGCAACGAUUACAUUUAUUUAUGCAAUAAAUGUGGUAUGCACUUGACAUGACCUCAUGUUAAGUAAAUAGCAG